rnacentral:rRNA from 1 species
UACGAAGGGGGCUAGCGUUGCUCGGAAUUACUGGGCGUAAAGGGCGCGUAGGCGGCCUGGCAAGUCGAUGGUGAAAGCCCGUGGCUCAACUACGGGUCGGCCAUUGAUACUGCUAGGCUCGAGUCGACUAGAGGCAGAUGGAAUUCCGCGUGUAGCAGUGAAAUGCGUAGAUAUGCGGAGGAACACCGAUGGCGAAGGCAAUCCCCUGGGCCUGCACUGACGCUCAUGCACGAAAGCGUGGGGAGCAAACAGG